rnacentral:rRNA from 1 species
ACGGGUGCGUAACGCGUGGGAAUCUGCCCUUUGGUUCGGAAUAACAGCUGGAAACGGCUGCUAAUACCGGAUGAUGACGAAAGUCCAAAGAUUUAUCGCCAGAGGAUGAGCCCGCGUUGGAUUAGGUAGUUGGUGGGGUAAAGGCCUACCAAGCCGACGAUCCAUAGCUGGUCUGAGAGGAUGAUCAGCCACACUGGGACUGAGACACGGCCCAGACUCCUACGGGAGGCAGCAGUGGGGAAUAUUGGACAAUGGGCGAAAGCCCGAUCCAGCAAUGCCGCGUGAGUGAUGAAGGCCCUAGGGUUGUAAAGCUCUUUUACCCGGGAAGAUAAUGACUGUACCGGGAGAAUAAGCCCCGGCUAACUCCGUGCCAGCAGCCGCGGUAAUACGGAGGGGGCUAGCGUUGUUCGGAAUUACUGGGCGUAAAGCGCACGUAGGCGGCUUUGUAAGUCAGAGGUGAAAGCCUGGAGCUCAACUCCAGAACUGCCUUUGAGACUGCAUCGCUUGAAUCCAGGAGAGGUCAGUGGAAUUCCGAGUGUAGAGGUGAAAUUCGUAGA